rnacentral:rRNA from 2 species
UCUGGUGUCAGCCGCCGCGGUAAAACCAGCACCUCAAGUGGUCAGGAUGAUUAUUGGGCCUAAAGCAUCCGUAGCCUGCUUUGUUAGUUUUCGGUUAAAUCCAUACGCUCAACGUAUGGGCUGCCGGGAAUACUGCAAAGCUAGGGAGUGGGAGAGGUAGACGGUACUCGGUAGGAAGGGGUAAAAUCCUUUGAUCUAUUGAUGACCACCUGUGGCGAAGGCGGUCUACCAGAACACGUCCGACGGUGAGGGAUGAAAGCUGGGGGAGCAAACCGGAUUAGAUACCCGGGUAGUCCCAGCUGUAAACUAUGCAAACUCGAUGAUGCAUUGGCUUGAUGCCAAUGCAGUGCCGCAGGGAAGCCGUUACGUUUGCCGCCUGGGAAGUACGUAUGCAAGUAUGAAACCUAAAG